UGAGAAUAGCUAGGAAGAUCUCUUGGUGGUCCUUCAUUAGAGCUAUUUGAAGAUUUUUGAAAAGCUACAAAGGUACGAGCCAACCUUCAAAAACACCAGCCGGUGAGAACACAACGAGGAUGCCCCUGACAACAUGUCAUAUUUUUCAGAAUGUCGGGGAGUCGUUAGUGUUAACCUUGUUUUGCAUGUACUUCAAAGUUCGGCACACCUCAUCCCAUCUUCCCAGAUUCCAAGCUUGAUCAUUUUCAGGAUCAACCAAAGUGUUUUCCCAACAUGUAAACAGUUAUUUUUCCUUCAAUCUCUUCCUUUAACAUUUAUUUAGCAAAACAAAAAACAAAAAACAAAAAACAAACUAAAACAUUUAAAAAUAAUAAACCAACAAAACUAGUUUUCCAACUUGAUUUUGUCAAAACAUGCCAAAGACAACAAAUUCAAUUAAAUCUUAUCAACAAAAAUUUAGCUAUCUUUUUCUUACUAGAAACUCUUUUUAAACUUAUACCAAAGUAGGGAACAUUGAAUCCACAAGGUAACCUACUAUUUUUUCAAUAAUUUCAUUAAUUUAUAAAAUUUAGGUAAAAUAUUUUCAUCUAUUUAAUAAAAACAAUAGAAAUACAUUUUUAAGGGUUUGUAUGAGGGGUAGUAUUUUUUACAGCAUCAAAAGUAGUGAAAAUAACUCUUGUCACCAUAGCUACGUGUGCUAUGAUUUUUGUUCCUUCUUGUGUCAUCAAUUAACUUCUUUUGUAUAGCUUUAUCAAUAGUUGAUUAUCUCUUAAUGAUCCCUAGGAAAUUUGUUUUAUAGUUGUGAUUAUAGGAAGUCAUAUUCCAAGAAUGGUUUAUGGGAGAUUUGAGAUCGAAAUAUUCUAUAGAAAAGGAGAUUUGAGCUGUAGAAAGCAAAGUCUUAGCAGUUAUUGGACAACAAAAGACUGAAAAGGUCCUUUUUUACCAUAUUCUUCCACUCAAGUUGAUAACAAAAGAAGAAAUAUAAAAUAUGGAGUAAAUUGCUAAUGGAACAAUCAUUUGCAAUCUCAGUGAUGUUCUGAGGCAAGUGAUCGACUUAAAAUCUGCAUAUGAAACCUGGGAAAAAUUAAAUUAAAUUUUUCUCUCUAAAUUACCUUCAAAAAAGGCGUACGUAUGAGAUAAGUUCUUCACCUACCGAAUGGAUAGUGCGAAAAUCCCUCGGUAAAAAUCUUGAUAAACUUAAGAAAAUGUCUUUUGAAUCAUAGAACUUAGGAGAGAAGAUUGGUGGUGAAAAUGAGACACUUUCAUACAGUUAAUUUUUUAUUUUUAUUGUUUUUAGAAGAGUUAAAUUCUCUUCUAGACUCAUAUAAAGAAGUGAAGGUGGUGUUAAAAUAUGCAAGAGAAACAAUAUCAAAAGAUGAAUUUAUAUCAGCGAUAAAGACAAAAGAAUUGGAGCUGAUGGCGUUAAAGCGUGACACUCCUGAUGAGAGGCAUUUUGCUAAAGGGAGGUACAAAAUUAAUUCAAAAGGUCCAAACUCUCACUAAGAUGAAAAGGAUAAAUAAAAAAUAAAAUGCAGCUAUUGCCACAAGGUGAGGGCCAUCUCAAGAACCUUGAUAAAAUGGGGAAGAACAAAAAGAACAAGACUACAGAGAUGUUUAGUUAUUGAAAAUGGAGUACCUACUAUGAAUUUUUAAUUUCAUUCGUCUUAACUUCAUUUAGACAAAUCAAAUUAAAAGGAUUUUGAAUAUUUUAACUAAAAAGUUUCAAAAGAAAAAAGGAGAAGAUGGUAAAAAUGCUUCUCAUAGAUGGUAUUACGGCUUGGUUGCUAAAACUGUCUUAA